UGAGACACGGACCAGACUCCUACGGGAGGCAGCAGUGAGGAAUAUUGGACAAUGGAGGAGACUCUGAUCCAGCCAUGCCGCGUGCAGGAAGAAUGCCCUAUGGGUAGUAAACUGCUUUUAUACGGGAAGAAAAAGAGCUACGUGUAGCUUACUGACGGUACCGUAAGAAUAAGGACCGGCUAACUCCGUGCCAGCAGCCGCGGUAA
rnacentral:rRNA from 1 species